CGUGUAAAUACUCCACACAGGAGGCAAGUCGGGGAGUCCCCAGGGGUGUGCAGCCGCCAGAUGGAGCCGCUGCCUCCCGCAGGCCAGCACCCUUGCGUGGCCUGGUGGCUCGGAAGGCUGGGUACCACCGGAGUCAAGAGCUCGGGAUCCACGCGCUGGCCAUUUUCACAGCAUCAGCCUGGGUUUGGAAUGACUCACUCCCGGAGAGCUGGUGCUCGGUGGGAGCAGAAAGCCGGCGUCGGGGGCCCGGCUCAUGAAACCUUCAGAUUCAGGAAACAGAACUACCAGCCGCUCCACCUGCAUUGUGUCUACUCUGAUUAAAGAGAGACCAGUAAAGGAGGGGAAACCCCUUCUGUUUCAGGAACUUUGCUGCGCUCCACAGUGGACAUCCUCUGCCUCGUGCUAAAUGGAGCUUAACCCGGAGAAAGGAACACAUCUGGAAAAGAUGCCGAGGUGGCCGCAAGGGAGGCGAGGAGGAGAAGUGCACUCGGGACGAGGGUGAGGGGCAGCUGCUCGGGGCCGGCGGGGACGUCUCUGGACAGCAGCGCAAGCUUGCAUUGAUCAUUUUUACGUUAUCAACAUAAUAAAGUUUUUAAAAAACCUCUCUACUCGAGAAAGAAGAAGAAAGCACAGCUACUAUCCUUUCGCGUGUAUAGGGUCUUCACUGGCACCAAUUCUUAAACAUUCUCUUGUAAAUUAUUAAAUCACAUUUCCUUUCGAA